GUCCUGGUGGCACAAUGGUUAAGCAUUCGGCUGCUAACCGAAAAGUUGGUGGUUCAAACCCACCUGAUGGCU
rnacentral:tRNA from 1 species